rnacentral:rRNA from 1 species
GUCGAACGCUGGCGGCGUGCCUAAUACAUGCAAGUAGAACGCUGAAGGAGGAGCUUGCUUCUCUGGAUGAGUUGCGAACGGGUGAGUAACGCGUAGGUAACCUGCCUGGUAGCGGGGGAUAACUAUUGGAAACGAUAGCUAAUACCGCAUAAGAGUAGAUGUUGCAUGACAUUUGCUUAAAAGGUGCAAUUGCAUCACUACCAGAUGGACCUGCGUUGUAUUAGCUAGUUGGUGGGGUAACGGCUCACCAAGGCGACGAUACAUAGCCGACCUGAGAGGGUGAUCGGCCACACUGGGACUGAGACACGGCCCAGACUCCUACGGGAGGCAGCAGUAGGGAAUCUUCGGCAAUGGACGGAAGUCUGACCGAGCAACGCCGCGUGAGUGAAGAAGGGUUUCGGAUCGUAAAGCUCUGUUGUAAGAGAAGAACGAGUGUGAGAGUGGAAAGUUCACACUGUGACGGUAUCUUACCAGAAAGGGACGGCUAACUACGUG